AACAUAUUACGGGGGGCCGGACCCAAAGUGCGUGUAACCCAUGUGCUUUGACCUGCCCUGUCUGAAUAUUCUACCCAUGUUUUUUGCGUACUAUUUGUUUCCUUGGUGGGCUUGCCCACCAUUAGGACACUAUAAAACCUUCUGUAAUUGCAGUCAGCGUCAGAAAUAACUUAAUAGUUA
rnacentral:misc_RNA from 1 species